UACGUAGGGUGCAAGCGUUGUCCGGAAUUAUUGGGCGUAAGAGCUCGUAGGCGGUCUGUCGCGUCUGCUGUGAAAACUCAGGGCUUAACCCGUGAGCUUGCAGUGGGUACGGGCAGACUAGAGUGCGGUAGGGGAGACUGGAAUUCCUGGUGAUAGCGGUGAAAUGCGCAGAUAUCAGGAGGAAACACCGGUUGGCGAAGGCGGGUCUC
rnacentral:rRNA from 1 species